GAUGAACGCUGGCGGCGUGCUUAACACAUGCAAGUCGAACGAAGCAUUUAAGACAGAUUACUUCGGUUUGAAGUCUUUUAUGACUGAGUGGCGGACGGGUGAGUAACGCGUGGGUAACCUGCCUCAUACAGGGGGAUAGCAGCUGGAAACGGCUGGUAAUACCGCAUAAGCGCACAGUACCACAUGGUACAGUGUGAAAAACUCCGGCGGUAUGAGAUGGACCCGCGUCUGAUUAGCUUGUUGGCGGGGUAACGGCCCACCAAGGCGACGAUCAGUAGCCGACCUGGGAGGGUGACCGGCCGCGUUGGGACUGCGGCCCGGCCCAGACUCCUACGGGAGGCAGCAGUGGGGAAUAUUGCACAAUGGAGGAAACUCUGAUGCAGCGACGCCGCGUGAGUGAAGAAGUAGUUCGCUAUGUAAAGCUCUAUCAGCAGGGAAGAUAGUGACGGUACCUGACAAAGAAGCUCCGGCUAAAUACGUG
rnacentral:rRNA from 1 species